UUCAAAAGCUUAUGUUGAGCUGUCUUCGAUUGUUGAGUCCAAGUAUCUCAUGACAGAUAAUGGAAAACUCAGUUAUCAAAAGCAGACUUCAUCCAUCAAAGGUUUCCACCGAGUGGUAAUUCUUUUUGCACCAAAACAUACUUAAUUUUUUCUACAGAUCAAUGUAAGCAAGGUAAUAUAAAAAUGAUUUGUGUAUGAUUACUUAAAAAAAGUCAUCAUUGCAAAAGCAAUAAGUUGCAAUAGUUGUAAACAUAAACUUAACAUUCAUUUGUAGAUUGUUUAUUGCUGCUCUUCAUUUCAAUGAGAAUGGAAACAAAGCUCAUAAAAUGAAGAAUGAUGGGGAAACAGAAGAGGAAUUGAUUUGGAGAGUGGCUUAUUCAAAUUCAAAAGAAGGGCAAGGGGAUAUCAAACCAGUGAAAAUUGACAGCACUUAUGGAUAUGUUAAGGACUUGAUGAAAGAAGUUUUGUACUGCAGACGCAUUAAUCCAACACUGUCCGAAGCUCUUCAUGUCUGGAGUGAAAGAAAUACCUGUCCCAUUGACUUGCCACAAAUCAAAAAUCAGCAAAGCUGAAGCCAUUAAGCAACAUAAAUGUCGCUUUUAUAUAUAAAAAGAUAAUAGAAAUAGCGUUCCACAUGAAAUAAACAUAAUUACAAAUGAA